GUCACCUGCAAGUACUGGCCAUACCUCCAAAAGGUAGUGGCUGCCCUUCCACCACUCCAGGGGCUCUUGCAGAUGAGGCCAUUCCUCAGCAUCAUGCAUGCCAGGGCUCAUGCCACAAAGUCUUAAAUGGAGUGGCAGGAAUCAGGAGGGAGUGGGCACAACGGCUGGUGAAGAGGUUGAGCAGCCCGUGUGGACAUGCUGACUGUCCAUGCAAUGGAAUGGAACAGGCACAAG